rnacentral:rRNA from 1 species
GUCCGCACCGUAAACGAUGAUCACUCGUUGUUGGCGAUACACAGUCAGCGACUAAGCGAAAGCAUUAAGUGAUCCACCUGGGAAGUACGACCGCAAGGUUGAAACUCAAAGGAAUUGACGGGGGCCCGCACAAGCGGAGGAGCAUGUGGUUUAAUUCGAUGGUACGCGAGGAACCUUACCUGGGCUUGAAAGACAGUUGACCGUCUCUGAAAGGAGACUUUCGCAAGACAACUGUCUAGGUGCUGCAUGGCUGUCGU